GAUGAACGCUGGCGGCGUGCCUAACACAUGCAAGUCGAGCGAUUUACUUCGGUAAAGAGCGGCGGACGGGUGAGUAACGCGUGGGUAACCUGCCCUAUACACACGGAUAACAUACCGAAAGGUGUGCUAAUACGAGAUAAUAUAAGAGAUUCACAUGGAUUUCUUAUCAAAGCUGAGGCGGUAUAGGAUGGACCCGCGUCUGAUUAGCUAGUUGGUAAGGUAACGGCUUACCAAGGCGACGAUCAGUAGCCGACCUGAGAGGGUGAUCGGCCACAUUGGAACUGAGACACGGUCCAAACUCCUACGGGAGGCAGCAGUGGGGAAUAUUGCACAAUGGGCGAAAGCCUGAUGCAGCAACGCCGCGUGAGUGAUGAAGGCCUUCGGGUCGUAAAACUCUGUCCUCAAGGAAGAUAAUGUCGGUACUUGAGGAGGAAGCCCCGGCUAACUACGUGCCAGCCGCCGCCGUAAGAC
rnacentral:rRNA from 1 species